rnacentral:rRNA from 1 species
UGCAAGUCGAGCGAAGCACUUUGCUUAGAUUCUUCGGAUGAAGAGGAUUGUGACUGAGCGGCGGACGGGUGAGUAACGCGUGGGUAACCUGCCUCGUACAGGGGGAUAACAGUUAGAAAUGACUGCUAAUACCGCAUAAGACCACAGCACCGCAUGGUGCAGGGGUAAAAACUCCGGUGGUAUGAGAUGGACCCGCGUCUGAUUAGCUAGUUGGUAAGGUAACGGCUUACCAAGGCGACGAUCAGUAGCCGACCUGAGAGGGUGACCGGCCACAUUGGGACUGAGACACGGCCCAAACUCCUACGGGAGGCAGCAGUGGGGAAUAUUGCACAAUGGGGGAAACCCUGAUGCAGCGACGCCGCGUGAGCGAAGAAGUAUUUCGGUAUGUAAAGCUCUAUCAGCAGGGAAGAAAAUGACGGUACCUGACUAAGAAGCGCCGGCUAAAUACGUGCCAGCAGCCGCGGUAAUACGUAUGGUGCAAGCGUUAUCCGGAUUUACUGGGUGUAAAGGGAGUGUAGACGGAUGGGCAAGUCUGAUGUGAAAACCCGGGGCUCA